rnacentral:rRNA from 1 species
UCAUAUGCUUGUCUCAAAGAUUAAGCCAUGCAUGUCUAAGUACAAACCUUUAUACGGUAAUACUGCGAAAGGCUCAUUAAAUCAGCUAUGGUUCCUUAGAUCGUUGAACAGUACAUGGAUAACUGUGGUAAUUCUAGAGCUAAUACAUGCAACAAUGCCUUGACCGUAAGGGAGAGGCGCAGUUAUUAGACCAAAACCAUCCGGGCUUGCUCGAUGAUUUGGUGACUCUGGAUAACUCUGUGCAGAUCGCAUGACCUCGUGUCGGCGACGAAUCUUUCAAGUGACUGACCUAUCAACUUUCGAUGGUAGGUAAUACGCCUACCAUGGUUAUAACGGGUAACGGGGAAUCAGGGUUCGAUUCCGGAGAGGGAGCCUUAGAAAUGGCUACCACAUCCAAGGAAGGCAGCAGGCGCGCAAAUUACCCAAUCCCAACACGGGGAGGUAGUGACGAAAAAUAACGAUACGGGACUUUAAUGAGGCCCCGUAAUUGGAAUGAGUACAAUUUAAAUCCUUUAACGAGGAUCAAUUGGAGGGCAAGUCUGGUGCCAGCAGCCGCGGUAAUUCCAGCUCCAAUAGCGUAUAUUAAAGUUGUUGCAGUUAAAAAGCUCGUAGUUGGAUCUGAGGAGUAGAGUCGACGGUGCGCCUUUCAGGUGAUACUGUUUGCUCAUCCUACCUAGCCGGUGACCGUCUCGGUGCUCUUAACUGAGCGCCUUGAUAGCCCGACAUGUUUACUUUGAACAAAUUAGAGUGCUCAACGCAGGCUUCAGGCUUGUAUAUUAGUGCAUGGAAUAAUGAAAUAGGACUUAGUUCUAUUUUGUUGGUUUACGGAACCUAAGUAAUGAUUAAAAGGGACAGUCGGGGGCAUUCGUAUUGUGCCGGGAGAGGUGAAAUUCGAAGAUCGGCGCAAGACGACCUACUGCGAAAGCAUUUGCCAAGUAUGUUUUCGUUAAUCAAGAACGAAAGUCAGAGGUUCGAAGACGAUUAGAUACCGUCCUAGUUCUGACCAUAAACGAUACCACCUGAUCAUCCGAGGUUGAUUGCUAGUUCGAUCCUUCGGGCGAUCUCCGGGAAACCAAAGUUUUUUGGUUCCGGGGGAAGUAUGGUUGCAAAUCCGAAACUUAAAGGAAUUGACGGAAGGGCACCACCAGGAGUGGAGCCUGCGGCUUAAUUUGACUCAACACGGGAAAGCUCACCCGGUCCGGACACUGUUAGGAUUGACAGAUUGAUAGCUCUUUCUUGAUUCAGUGGGUGGUGGUGCAUGGCCGUUCUUAGUUGGUGGAGCGAUUUGUCUGGUUAAUUCCGAUAACGAACGAGACUCUAGCCUGCUAAAUAGUACACUCAUCACAAGUGUGGGUGCUUGCUUCUUAGAGGGACAGGCGGCGCAUAGUCGCACGAGAUUGAGCAAUAACAGGUCUGUGAUGCCCUUAGAUGUCCGGGGCCGCACGCGCGCUACAAUGACAAGCUCAACUAGUGUUUCCUGGCCCGAAAGGGUUGGGUAACCUAAUAAACUCUUGUCAUGACAGGGAUUGGGUUUUGAAAUUAUCGCCCAUGAACGAGGAAUUCCCAGUAAGUGCAAGUCAUAAACUUGCGCUGAUUACGUCCCUGCCCUUUGUACACACCGCCCGUCGCUACUACUGAUUGAAUGGUUUAGUGAGGUCCUCGGAUUGGCAUCCGGCGAGUGGCAACACUAGUCGGUUUGCCGAAAAGAAGGUCAAACUUGAUCAUUUAGAAGAAGUAAAAGUCGUAACAAGGUUUCC